rnacentral:rRNA from 1 species
GAUGAACGCUGGCGGCGUGCCUAAUACAUGCAAGUCGAGCGAACAGAUGAGGAGCUUGCUCCUCUGACGUUAGCGGCGGACGGGUGAGUAACACGUGGAUAACCUACCUAUAAGACUGGGAUAACUUCGGGAAACCGGAGCUAAUACCGGAUAAUAUAUUGAACCGCAUGGUUCAAUAGUGAAAUACGGUUUUGCUGUCACUUAUAGAUGGAUCCGCGCCGCAUUAGCUAGUUGGUAAGGUAACGGCUUACCAAGGCAACGAUGCGUAGCCGACCUGAGAGGGUGAUCGGCCACACUGGAACUGAGACACGGUCCAGACUCCUAAGGGAGGCAGCAGUAGGGAAUCUUCCGCAAUGGGCGAAAGCCUGACGGAGCAACGCCGCGUGAGUGAUGAAGGUCUUCGGAUCGUAAAACUCUGUUAUUAGGGAAGAACAAAUGUGUAAGUAACUAUGCACGUCUUGACGGUACCUAAUCAGAAAGCCACGGCUAACUACGUG